UACAGAGUUGACGAUCGUUAAUCGGGUUUACUUGGCGUAAAGCGUGCGUAGGCGGCUUUUUAAGUCGGAUGUGAAAUCCCCGAGCUUAACUUGGGAAUUGCAUUCGAUGCUGGGAAGCUAGAGUAUGGUAGAGGAUGGUAGAAUUCCAGGUGUAGCGGUGAAAUGCGUAGAGAUCUGGAGGAAUACCGAUGGCGAAGGCAGCCAUCUGGCCUAAUACUGACGCUGAGGUACGAAAGCAUGGGGAGCAAACAGG
rnacentral:misc_RNA from 1 species